rnacentral:lncRNA from 7 species
GUAGAAGCUGGUGGAGAAACUGUUUGGCUGGAGUGUUUCUGCUGAUUAAGGCUGUGUUUGCAGUUAAGGCAACAAUUCCAAAUGGCAUUAUAUCUGAUUUUCAACUGGAAAAUUGAAGCAGGAUGUGAUCACAGAACGCACUGUGCUACAGUUUAAGCUACCGUGUCCUCCCUCUGAAGAAAACCUGCAAUGGUUUCUGGCCUGCUGGAGAGCAGCAGCUUUAGCUCAGAUGCUUGGACUGGGCGGUAAUGAGAAAAAGUUGGGCAAAGCGCUUAGAGAACAAGACAUGCUACUGCUGCCAACAGCCCUUGCUCUUCACUCUUCAGUGUGCCUCAUCUUGGGGUAGUCACAGAGGAAAUGCGUUUUGUUUCAGAUCAUGUCUCAGGAGACACAAGGAAAGAAGCUAAACCCCAUUCAAGCAAAUUCCAGUACUCAGCAAGACGCAGUAACUUGUAGUCAAGAAAGUAUCUGGUUAUGAAUUAGUUAUUUCAAUGUCUGAUUUAUUUAUUUAUUUAUUUAUUAGUAUUGUAGCUUUCACUGCCUUCAUUAUCUGGAAAAGAAUAUAUGUGUAUAGUUCUGUUCAGCACCUGCGUUAAGUCCUUGUCCUCAGUGAAAUCCUUGUGGGGAUGACUUUACCUGCCUCAUUACAUGUUGUAUUGGAAGAGAUGUUUUUUUUCCAAUUAGUAACAUUUUGCUUUCACAUGCUACCACCAAAUUCUCACAUUACAAGACUUAGGAUUAUAGCAUCCAUGAUUACAGACCUAGAGAACUGGAUGCAAAAGUAAGUGUGUAUAUUUUAAGUCUGUAUUUAGUCAUUAGUAAGUCUGUAUAUUUUAAUUAUGUUGUCUUGUGUUUACCUCCUCUCUAAGGUAAGCAAACUCAACCAUUUUAAUUUUACUUCACUAAGAGAGUGUUGCUUGUCCCUAGUUAUUCUUAUUGCCUCUUUCCAAAAGCCAUUAAACUCAGUAGGAUGUUUUCCGAGAUGAUGACAGGUACUGAGAACAGUGUUUUCAAUAGGAGAGUAAAUCAGUGCUUUCUGUAAUGACAUUAUCAUCUUUUCCAUACUAUUCUUCAUCCCACUUAUUUAUCCUAAUGUUAUCCUAAUGUUUUGUUUACUGUUUCAGCUGACACUUCUUGUUCAACAGAGGUCUGCUCUUAAGUGCUGGAAAUGAUGCUUAUCAUUUUCCUGAGAUGCUAGAAUUAGUUUUGAAAUCCAUAAAGGAGCUUGGUAGUCCAGACUUUUAUCUCCCACAUGCAUUACUUUAUAUUCUUAGCAUUUGGAUUUGCUGUUUUGUUUCAUAUUUAUUUUGGCUGGAUCUUCAUGGGGAAGCUUGGGAAUGCAGAGCUGAUAGUUGUUUGUGUUUUGGCAAUAGUGUUUCAUUUCCAUGCUGGAUGUAGUCAGUGCCAUUGUGGCUGUGAAUUCAAUAUGUAUGCUACAUAAUAUCCCUCCUUUGGAGAGAUUUUUCCACUUUAAAUACUCUGCUUUACAUUUAGUUCUUUGUAGUGCCCUCCACCACUCCUGCCAUAAAUAUUGCUCUGUUAGGAUAAGUGCUUAUCAAGUGCUUAAUUUCCUGAGCAAACUCUCAUGAUGUGUUUGCAACAGCUUUGAGAUCCAUAGUGUGAACCUUCUCCUCAUCCAUGCCAUCCCUUCCUAAGCUUCUCUUGGGGAAGCUUCAUUCAGUACACCACUGGUGCAGUGUUCAGGAAGGAGAUUCAGAGCUCUGCAGAGAUGACAAAUAGUGGCAAAGAUGGCAAAAAUCCUUUGAGGUUUCAGGAUAAUGAAGAGUAGCAAGUGAAUGAAUGAAUGGAUUUUAUCAUAGAACUACAGCACCAGUGAAGCUUCCUCAUUGUGAGAAGCGUGGGGCCUGGGACUGGCACUGCCAGCGUGAACAUGAUGGUGGGGGUUGAGGGCUGUUAGAAAGGUAUGUUGCAUGUUACAUAUCUUGUCUGUCUUUGGGAAGAUGAUGACUGGCAAUCCAUGAGAUACUGAAAAUUUAGUUGGGUAAUUAAUAGAUCCCCAGGUACCUAAUUGUCCCAUGUACAAAUCCUCAGAGUUUGUCAAAGGAAAUGAGUAUUCUAUUGUCC